rnacentral:other from 1 species
UCUUGCCUGGGGUGUGCGUUAUUAGUUACGUCCCUGAGCCGAUAAUUUGAAACUUUGAGUUGAACAUCUACCGCCGGUGAGCAAGCUUACCUUGAGCUCAAAUUCAAGAGUAAGAAGCCUAAAAGCAGUUACGUUUGACUCCCUUGAACCAACUGGUUCAAGGACCAUUACUGGUAGCGGCAUCUCGGGUACUUA